GCCCGUAACAUGCCACGCUGUCUGGAGGAUGGCUCGGCUUGAGAGCCGAAGAAGGGCGCGGCAAGCCGCGAUACCGCCUCGGGUAAGCGCAAGCAGCCUUAGAACCGAGGAUACCUGAAUGAGACUUCUCAACAACCGCGAGGUUGUUGCUCCUUUAUGGAGCGGGAACCCCCCGAACGGAAGCAUCUUAGUAGGGGGAGGAAAAGAAACCAAUAGGGAUUCCCUUAGUAGCAGCGAGCGAAAUGGGAACAGUCCAAACCGAAUCCCACACAGAAAUGUAUGGGAGAUGUAGGGUUAAGGGCCUUACGUUCUCUUCGUUGGUAAAGCUGAAGUGGCCUGAAAAGGCCCGCCACAGAGGGUGACAGCCCCCUAAGCGUAAACCAAAAAGAGUUGUGAGAGUCCCAGACUACCACUCCGUGGCUUCGGAGUGGAAAGUUGGAAGUCACCAACUUCCAAGACUAAAUACGCCUCAAGACCGAUAGCGCAAUAGUACGGUGACGGAAAACUGAAAAGUACCCCGGAAUGGGGGUGAAAAGUGCCUGAAACCAGACAGUUACAGACGUGCAUGGCCCAGAAGAAUAGAAGCCUUCUGAAGGAAACUAUAGUGAUAUAGGUGUACGAAGAAGGUGGAUCAGGGUUAUGCGUUCCGUCUCGAAACACGGGCCGGGGAGUUUAUAGCUAUGGCAAGCCUAAAAGGUAAUACUUGUAAGCAAAGGGAAACCAACAAGCACGCAGCUCGCAAGAGUCAGGUGCAGGGUCUGAAAGGGCCUGAAGUCAUAACUAUACAUACUAGAAACCAGACGAUCUAGCCCUGGGCAGGAUGAAGCUAGGCGAAAGCCUAGUGGAGGUCCGAAAGGGUUCUGACGUGCAAUUUGUUCCCCAGACCUGGGGCUAGGGGCUAAAGACCAAUCUAGUCUGGUGAUAGCUAGUUCCUUCCGAAGUGGGCCUGAGCCCAGUCCUGAGCGAGGCAGCUGGUGGGGUAGAGCACUGAUUGGGAAACAAGGAUCAGAAAUGGUCCACUUUCCUUUCAAACUACGAAUCCACCCGCACCGUAUACCUCGGGAAGCGGGUUAGUGGGGGUAAGCUCCACGACCGAGAGGGGGACAACCCAGACUGAGGUUAAAGUCCCCAAAUGCUGGCUAAAUGUCAAACCAAAGGGCGUCGUCAGCCUCAGACAGCGGGGAGGUAGGCUUAGAAGCAGCCAUCCUUCAAAGAUAGCGUAACAGCUCACCCGCCGAGGCUGACGGCCCCGAAAAUUGACGGGGCUAAGCCAGCUACUGAUACCUCAGAACGCAUCUUAAGAUGCGCUGGUAGGAAGGCGUCCUAGUUGGGCAGAAGCUGGGCUGUGAGGUCCAGUGGACCGAUUAGGAUUGCGAAUCCCGGUGGUAGUAACAGCAAAGAAAAGUGAGAAUCUUUUCCGCCGAAGGGGCAAGGGUUCCCCGGCAACGAUCGUCAGCCGGGGGUAAGUCGAUCCUAAGGCAUAACUUAACCGAUUAUGCCGAAAAAGGGAAUCCGGCUAAAAUUCCGGAACCAUGCAGGUACGCGCGGUAACGCAAGCAUAGUGUUAACGUUUCGGGGUAAGCUGAGCAAGGUCUUCGCCUUGUUUAACCGUAUACAUCCGGGGAGUGCCGUAAUGACGAGAACCGGACGAAAAUGGGAAUAGCCACCCGUUUUAGGGAGGUUCAGCUCAUCCCUGGAGCCACUGAAAAGCGCACUAUGAAGGAUCCUGUAUGAUCGUACCUAGAACCGACACAGGUGUCCCUAGGCGAGAAACCUAAGGCGUGUCGGGUAUACACUAAUGCGAGGGAACUCGGCAAAUUAGCCCCGUACCUUUGGUAUAAGGGGUGCCUGUUCUUCUAGCCUUGUGUUAGGAGAGCAGGUCGCAGUGACAAAGGGGUCUCGACUGUUUAAUAAAAACACAGGAAGCCGCAAGAGCGAAAGCUUGUGAACGGCUUCUGAAUCCUGGCCAGUACAGGUACCUGAAACCUGGGUCCAACUGGGCUAAGGGCCUGCAAACGCCGGGAGUAACUCUGACUCUCUCAAGGUAGCCAAAUGCCUUGUCGGGUAAGUUCCGAC
rnacentral:rRNA from 1 species